UACGUAGGCAGCGAGCGUUGUUCGGAAUUACUGGGCGUAAAGCGCACGUAGGCGGCUUUGUAAGUUAGAGGUGAAAGCCUGGAGCUCAACUCCAGAAUUGCCUUUAAGACUGCAUCGCUUGAAUCCAGGAGAGGUGAGUGGAAUUCCGAGUGUAGAGGUGAAAUUCGUAGAUAUUCGGAAGAACACCAGUGGCGAAGGCGGCUCACUGGUCCGGUACUGACGCUGAGGUGCGAAAGCGUGGGGAGCAAACAGG
rnacentral:rRNA from 1 species